rnacentral:rRNA from 1 species
UACGUAGGGUGCGAGCGUUAAUCGGAAUUACUGGGCGUAAAGCGUGCGCAGGCGGUUGGCAAAGUCAGCUGUGAAAGCCCCGGGCUUAACCUGGGAAUGGCGGUUGAAACUAGUCGACUAGAAUCUGGCAGAGGGGGGUGGAAUUCCACGUGUAGCAGUGAAAUGCGUAGAGAUGUGGAGGAACACCGAUGGCGAAGGCAGCCCCCUGGGCUAACACUGACGCUCAUGCACGAAAGCGUGGGGAGCAAACAGG